CACGGCGGCCAUAGCGGCGGGGUUACACCCGGUCUCGUUUCGACCCCGGAAGUUAAGCCCGCCUGCGUUCCC
rnacentral:rRNA from 1 species